UACGUAGGGUGCGAGCGUUGUCCGGAAUUAUUGGGCGUAAAGGGCUCGUAGGCGGCCAACUAAGUCAUACGUGAAAUCCCUCAGCUUAACUGGGGAACUGCGUGUGAUACUGGAUGGCUUGGAUGUGGGAGAGGGAUGCGGAAUUCCAGGUGUAGCGGUGAAAUGCGUAGAUAUCUGGAGGAACACCGGUGGCGAAGGCGGCAUCCUGGACCAUUAUUGACGCUGAGGAGCGAAAGCCAGGGGAGCAAACGGG
rnacentral:rRNA from 1 species